CAUCUCCGUUGGUUAAAUAUUUCAGUGUUGUAGUCAAAGAAGACAUGAAACUUUUAACAGUUUUAUUUCCUGAUGGACGCGAAGGGUGUACUUUUACUCUGAAGGAUCAGUAAAUAGCGGGGCAACAGGGGUGGCUGUGGGACUGGAGCAGUGGAACGUGGCAACCCUGGUUGUGAUUGAGAGGGGCAAUUGUUCGAUUAAUAUUCAAUACGACUACCAUACCUGUGUGGCACUCUCUAGGGAUUUAAUGGUGCGAUUUUUCUCCAAGCAGGAAGAAACUACGGAGGAACUCAAUGAGUGGAGAAGUGCAUUAGAGAGUGCUUUAGCGCAGGCACCAAGUGUAGCGAGUACAGCGGGGCAAAAUCCAAUAUUCAACACUGAUGCAACAGAACCUUCUGAAGCUUCAACUGAACAUUUUCUUAUGGCAGGAGAAUGACAGACAGUAUGGUUGAAAUGGCAAGGUCUGCACAGAGGUUUCUUACUGUGUAUUAUGAUCAUGGGUCCAAUGUUGGUAGAACCAGGGGUCCUACCGGACCUGCUCCGGAGGUUGUAGGGGAAGGAUGGAGUGGGACGGGGUGUUGAUCGGGCGCGCCGGCGGCUGGGCGCCGUCGCGUCGGAGGGAGAUGGCGGCGGCUAGGGUUCCGGCUCCUCUGGGAGCCGGGCAAUAGGGAUAAUAAUAUUCUUAUUGCUUAAUUCCAAAAAGAGUCUUACAGCCUAUAUUUAUA